GACGAACGCUGGCGGCGUGCUUAACACAUGCAAGUCGAACGGAAAGGCCCCUUUGGGGGUACUCGAGCGGCGCACGGGUGAGUAACACGUGCGUAACCUGCCCUUCUCUUCGGGAUAACUUCAGGAAACUGGGGCUAAUACCGGAUAGGAAUCCUUGCUGCAUGGUGGGGGUUGGAAAGCUUCGGCGGUGUUGGAUGGACUCGCGGCUUAUCAGCUUGUUGGUGGGGUAGUGGCUUACCAAGGCUUUGACGGGUAGCCGGCCUGAGAGGGCGACCGGCCACAUUGGGACUGAGAUACGGCCCAGACUCCUACGGGAGGCAGCAGUGGGGAAAAUUGAACAAUGGGCGGAAGCCUGAUGCAGCAACGCCGCGUGCGUGAUGACGGCCUUCGGGUUGUAAACCGCUUUCAGCAGGGGCGAAGCUUGUGGUGACGGUACCUGCAGAAGAAGCACCGGCUAACUACGUG
rnacentral:rRNA from 1 species